rnacentral:misc_RNA from 1 species
GUCAUCGUAAUGGCAAUUCUCAAAGAUUAGGACAUUUCUCAACAAAAGUCCUACUCCAUUACUCAUUGUAAUAUGUGGAAUUUUCAGAAUCCCUUUAUCAAAUUCUAUGUCCAGUUUGUUUCGACUUGGAUGCAUCUCAAACUUGACCCCAGCAUGGUAGAGCUCUGUCGCUGUUGGUAUCACUAAUUUGUUUGUCCUCUUUACCCGCUUUUUCUUUUGUGGAAGCUGACAAAUUCUA